rnacentral:rRNA from 1 species
AUACGGAGGAUCCGAGCGUUAUCCGGAUUUAUUGGGUUUAAAGGGUGCGCAGGCGGGAGAUUAAGUCGGCGGUGAAAUUUUGCAGCUCAACUGUAAAAGUGCCUUCGGAACUGGGUUCCUUGAGUGUUGAUGAAGUAGGCGGAAUUUGUGGUGUAGCGGGGAAAUGCAUAGAUAUCACGAGGAACUCCGAUUGCGCAGGCAGCUUACUAAACUACUACUGACGCUCAGGCACGAAGGCGUGGGGAUCAAACAGGAUUAGAAACCCUGGUAGUCCACGCAGUAAACGAUGAUUACUAGCUGUUUGCGAUACAAUGUAAGCGGCUGAGCGAAAGCGUUAAGUAAUCCACCUGGGGAGUACGUUCGCAAGAAUGAAACUCAAAGGAAUUGACGGGG